AUUGAACGCUGGCGGCAGGCCUAACACAUGCAAGUCGAGCGGUAGAGAGGUGCUUGCACCUCUUGAGAGCGGCGGACGGGUGAGUAAUGCCUAGGAAUCUGCCUGGUAGUGGGGGAUAAC
rnacentral:rRNA from 1 species